AUUGAACGCUGGCGGCAUGCCUUACACAUGCAAGUCGAACGGUAACAGGUCUUCGGAUGCUGACGAGUGGCGAACGGGUGAGUAAUACAUCGGAACGUGCCCGAUCGUGGGGGAUAACGGAGCGAAAGCUUUGCUAAUACCGCAUACGAUCUACGGAUGAAAGCGGGGGACCGCAAGGCCUUGCGCGGACGGAGCGGCCGAUGGCAGAUUAGGUAGUUGGUGGGAUAAAAGCUUACCAAGCCGACGAUCUGUAGCUGGUCUGAGAGGACGACCAGCCACACUGGGACUGAGACACGGCCCAGACUCCUACGGGAGGCAGCAGUGGGGAAUUUUGGACAAUGGGCGAAAGCCUGAUCCAGCCAUGCCGCGUGCAGGAUGAAGGCCUUCGGGUUGUAAACUGCUUUUGUACGGAACGAAAAGACUCUUUCUAAUAAAGAGGGUCCAUGACGGUACCGUAAGAAUAAGCACCGGCUAACUACGUG
rnacentral:rRNA from 1 species